rnacentral:rRNA from 1 species
GGAAUUGCUAGUAAUGGCAGGUCAGCAUACUGCCGUGAAUACGUUCCCGGGCCUUGUACACACCGCCCGUCCACACCAUGAGAGUUGGAAAUACCCGAAGCCUGUGAGCUAACUGUAAAGAGGCAGCAGUCGAAGGUAGAGCCAAUGAUUGGGGUGAAGUCGUAACAAGGUAGC